GAUGAACGCUGGCGGCGUGCCUAAUACAUGCAAGUAGAACGCUGAAGGAGGAGCUUGCUCUUCUGGAUGAGUUGCGAACGGGUGAGUAACGCGUAGGUAACCUGCCUGGUAGCGGGGGAUAACUGUUGGAAACGAUAGCUAAUACCGCAUGACAACAGUUAUUGCAUGAUAACUGUUUAAAAGGGGCAACUGCUCCACUACCAGAUGGACCUGCGUUGUAUUAGGUAGUUGGUGAGGGAACGGCUCACCAAGGCGACGAUACAUAGCCGACCUGAGAGGGAGGUUCGGCAAACCGGGACUGGGACACGGCCCAGGACUCUUAGGGGGGCAGCAGGAGGGAAUCAUCGGCAAUGGAGGGAAAGCUGAACGAGGAACGGCGGGUGAGUGGAGGAGGGUUUCGGAUCGUAAAGCUCUGUUGUAAGGGGAGAAAGAGUGUGAGAGUGGAAAGUUCACACUGUGACGGUAUCUUAACAGAAAGCGACGGCUAACUACGUG
rnacentral:rRNA from 1 species